rnacentral:rRNA from 1 species
UACGUAGGGUGCAAGCGUUGUCCGGAAUUAUUGGGCGUAAAGAGCUCGUAGGCGGUCUGUCGCGUCGGCUGUGAAAACCCGCGGCUCAACCUCGGGCCUGCAGUCGAUACGGGCAGACUAGAGUGCGGUAGGGGAGACUGGAAUUCCUGGUGUAGCGGUGGAAUGCGUAGAGAGUCCGGGAAGAACACCGGUGGCGAAGGCGGUCUGCUGGGCAGUAGCUGACACUGAGGCGCGACAGCGUGGGGGAGCAAACAGG